rnacentral:misc_RNA from 1 species
UUGACCUUUAAUGCAGAUUCAGACACAGAGCUAGUGUUUGACAUAAAAGGCGGCGCCGGAGCGCCGAAGCACGCGAUGCUUCCACGGAUUUGGGGGUUUGAAAGGCCAUGAGGGCCAGUUCGUUAAUGAUCCCUCCGCAGGUUCACCUACGGAGA